rnacentral:rRNA from 1 species
GAGACACGGUCCAGACUCCUACGGGAGGCAGCAGUGGGGAAUUUUGGACAAUGGGGGCAACCCUGAUCAGCAAUGCCGCGUGAGUGAAGAAGGCCUUCGGGUUGUAAAGCUCUUUUGUCAGGGAAGAAACGGGUCUGGAUAAUACCUGGGCUUAAUGACGGUACCUGAAGAAUAAGCACCGGCUAACUACGUGCCAGCAGCCGCGGUAAUACGUAGGGUGCAAGCGUUAAUCGGAAUUACUGGGCGUAAAGCGUGCGCAGGCGGUUUUAUAAGUUUGUCGUGAAAGCCCCGGGCUCAACCUGGGAAUGGCGAUGAAGACUGUAAGGCUAGAGUGUGUCAGAGGGGGGUAGAAUUCCACGUGUAGCAGUGAAAUGCGUAGAUAUGUGGAGGAACACCGAUGGCGAAGGCAGCCCCCUGGGAUAACACUGACGCUCAUGCACGAAAGCGUGGGGAGCAAACAGGAUUAGAUACCCUGGUAGUCCACGCCCUAAACGAUGUCUACUAGUUGUCGGGUCUUAAUUGACUUGGUAACGCAGCUAACGCGUGAAGUAGACCGCCUGGGGAGUACGGUCGCAAGAUUAAAACUCAAAGGAAUUGAC